rnacentral:misc_RNA from 1 species
CACAACAAGGGGACGACGAUGGCGGCUGUCACUGCAAAGCCAAUCCUCUUUUUGGAAGAAAAUCAGUAUUCAAACUUCGAAUGGAUUGGUGAAAUUGAGGAUGGUUCUCUCUUAUGCCGCUGGGAAGAGGAGGUGCUUGUGAGAGGGCCGGCAGACAGCUCAGGUGAUGGUGGGCCAGAAGGAGCCACCAGUUCCCUUGCCUUUGCUACACAGAUUGCUAUUGCAACACCUGAUCUUCAGUGCACUCAGGUCUUGUACACUUUUGACAAGGUUGUACCUGUGGUCCAAGCCUCAGUCAAUGCUUCCAGGACUCUGCUAGGUUUCGUGACCCGGAGGAAUGUUGGAGAAGGAAAUAAGUAUGCAGCGUAUGUGGCCGAGGUGGCACCACAAGGAGGAGUGUUCUCCCUCAACAUCGACUGUUCACGGCAGAUCUUUCUGGAAUUUCUGCACACGGAGGAAAAUGAAAAGCCGCUCGGAGAUAGCUGGAUAGCAAAGCUGCUUGUGUUUGUUCAUAGAGAAUCUAUUGCCAUCUAUUCGUUCCCGCUGAGUCUGAAAGAUGGAACGUCAUGGGUUGUGGAUGACCAGCCUCUCACAGAGUCUGUGGUGCGGUCUUUCGUGUGGGCCCAGUGGGAGCCUCGGCACAAUCACCUCUAUUACCUGCACUACAGACCUCCGCCUGAGGUUGGGCUGACGCUAGGAUCAUGUGAAUCAGAGGAAGAUGAGAUGCGACCUCGUCCUAUGCUCACUGCUCUGCAAUUCCAUCCAAAUAAACCUCAUGAGACUGUGCUAAAUGUACCACUAGAACUCUCAGGAUUAGAACAUUCCCCAAUGGACCUCAGUGGCGACUAUCGAGAUCAGGGUUUGCUGCACACUGCGGGAGAUGCCUGGCUGGAUCUCCGUGUUGUUACUUCACCCUCUGGCGCUGUCUGCAUUUGCCAUCAUUAUAUCUACAAGUCAAGGCUGGCUGAGACCCCUGCUGAUCCCGAGAGUUGUGCCGUGUAUUUAGCAUACUCUGUGACCCUUCUGCACCAUGGUUGUGUCCUGCAUACAGUGGUGCCAGGAGUGCCUUGGGGCCAUGCACAUUCUGCUCUUCCCACAUACUCACUAUUUGGAGAUCACUACCUUCUGGUGAUUGUGCCAGGAGUAUGUAUGCACAUGCUGGACAUUGGUCUGGACCACAUGCCCAACAACCACAUAGUCACCACACCCCCACCACAGCUUUUACCCAAUGCACAACUUUUCCAGAUUUGUGGAAAAAAGGUCACCUCAGGGCGCAGCAUGACGUUUGUUGACGGUGUGAACCAGAUGUUGGUUGAAGUGCGUGUCACUAAAGAGUCGCUCUUCUCACUCUUCAAGUGCUCAGCUGUGUUAAGCAACCGCUUGGCCAUCUUGCACUUGGCUUCUGUUCACGACAAGGAUCAUGACCUGUCACGGAAGCUAAUGUGGAGUGUAUGUGAAGAUCCUUAUAACUUAGAUACUCCAGUGCUGCUUCAAGAGUACCUCGUGGGAGAGACGUAUGCUGCUGUCCAUAAGCACAUAGACUCUGAUGCUGGCCACCUCAUCUCCCUCCUGCCAAUCACCACUGCUCCCUUCACAACUGACACAGAGUAUAUUGAAUCUCCAGCUGAAGAAAAUGUGAGGAUUUCCUACUGCUUGCUAGAGAACGCAUGCAUAAUGCUGUUAUCUCCACGUGAGCGAGUGGUGAGGUCCAUAUCAGAUACCUGGACCAAACUCUGGGAGCACACCAGCUGCAGGCACCACCAGCGCUUUAGCUUGACCGAUGUGGUGGACAAGCUCAUGGUUUCUCUUGAUACUUAUAAACCAGAGGCACUGUCCCAAGGUAGUACUCCCGUGUCGCCAGCAAGUCCCCUUGUUGGAGGUCUGACCAUCACCUCCUUAGGUCUGACACUCGCUCACCUUAUGUUCGACCCGCUGCCCUUCAACGAGGCAGAAAACACCACUUCCUCUAAACUAGAGCACCUUCUCUCUGUGAACUUGAGGGAGCUGAGUAUGUACUGCUUGAAACAUUUUCCCCAUGAAUCUCCCAUGAGGGUCCAUGCAGUUGCCAGCAAAUAUGUUUGUACUCAGCUUCAGGUGUCCCGAAGACUGUGUUCAAUCCUUUGUUCAUCUCAGACACUUGUACCAACAGAGAAGAGUGAAAAAGGUUUUACAUUCAUAGAGCAAUUAGAAGAUGCUGUUGCUACACGACUUUUUACCCUUCUGGAGCGCUACCACUCGGCAACGGAGGCUGUGGCUUUCCCACUACCUCAGGGAUACAACUCAUUUCUGGCUUACCUUGCACACCGAUGUUUGCCACACCUGGUUUUCAUGCAGUAUGUGCAGCGUGGUGUAUUGCAGCUGAAUGUGGAUGUCUUGCGUGAGAUCGUUUUGACCUAGAUGACACACCCCAGAAUGUGGAGCGCAAAUUGGAAAUUAUAUCCUCGGUGCCUCUGGUGAGAAGUCUCCGAGCCCUGCAGUACUGGCAGCACCCAAUGUCGCUCAUUCUGCGCUCAAGGCUCCAUGCUGGGUCCAUAUUGGCAGGAGAGGGCCCGGGACAACCACGAACCCCUACUCAAUCAGCUAGAAUUAAUGCGCAACACAUACAGAACAAAGGUUUAACAGCUUUCCCAACAGCAGAUCGCCUGUCACCUUUUGACACGUUUUUGGAUCUUCUCACUGCAAAAGCCAACCUAACUGACUUGGACCUGGGACUGCUCUAUGAGGGAACCAUAGCUUCUCUGGAAUAUAUC